rnacentral:rRNA from 1 species
AUGGUUUUGGAGGACAAAAGCAGCGACGACCAGUCUAGCCUCCCGUACAUGCAUUCUUCCUCCACAAACGGUCUCAACGAGGUUUUGAUUUGCCCAUUGUCUUUGUGCGAGCUUUUGCAUGUCCCUUUCAGCCUUGAAGAUCCAGAUUACAAGGGGCUUGAGCUGGAUGUGAUGUCUCCAUGUGAGAAGCACGGCAUGGCAUCUGAGAGGCUUGUUGCCUUUGAAGGAACAGACACAGGCAGGCGGUUUUUAGCAUGUGCACAACCGGCAGGUAGCAAUUGUGGCUUUGUUGAAUGGGUUGAUCACCAGUGGCCCCCAACAAUGCAGAAUGCAUUGUUGAAGCUAUGGGCAAUGGUUGAAGAUGCCAAAACUGCUAGGGUGAAUGACAAUCUUGAAAGUUCUUUCACUGUCCACCAUCUGACAGAAGAGAAGAACAAGCUGGAGGCCAACUAUGACAAGCUAGUCCAAGAUUCUGCCAUUACAUAUCAGCAGGAGGUAAGAAAAGAACCGAUUGAUGAUAUGAAGGCACAGAUGGCAAGUGAGAUGGCAAAGAAAGAUGCAGAGACCCAGAAACUUACUCAGAAGUAUGAGCUACUGCUCAACCUGACAAGAGCUCAAGCAACAGUCAUUUAG